ACUGUCUUGUCAGGAGCUAUCGAAAAAACCUUGUUAACUAAAAUAUUCUAUGUUUCAGUUUUGCGGCUUGAAUUGUCACUAGUGAAAGCUUUGAAUUUUCGAAUAUGUUUCCCCCUAUAUUCCACGCUUAUGAGUAUGUUCAAUGUACUUAAAGUUAUUUGAUGUACAAGCUAUGUAUGCUAUAGAUAUGUACAUAUGCUAAAAAAUUGCCAUUACCCAUUCCCGCAAGCAAACUAUUGAAAAAGAGAGAAGAAAGAGAAAGAAUAUGGUGAGAAACGUAGCCAGCCAGCAGAUAAAUCGUGUAGAUGCAGACUAAAGCCAAACGGAGUUGAGUGCGCAACUGACAAGAGACAAAUGAGAUUGGGUGAGUUUUGUAUGCGGUGUUGCCAUGGAACGCUGGAAAUGAAACAUGAUCGUAAUGUUAAGCUCGUGCGACUGAAUAGACAGAUGUGUGAGAGAAAUAGGCGAUUGCAGCGUAACAAAAGAGAUAGAGACAGAGAGAGAGAGAGAGUGCCAUUGAGUAGCUGCUUAUAAUAAUUUGGCAUAUUGAGACAUUUGGCAUUGCUUGAGCUAAAUGCGACGUGCUUCUUGUAUUUUUUUUUUUUGGAUUGUUGUUUAUUUGUUUUUGUUUUGUUGAUCGUUGAUCGUUGGUUGUUUACCCUCAAUUUCCACUGGGAGUAUGUAAUUGGCAAUUUCUUAUCUUUAUUAGAAACUGUGCUACUUUGUCUUAAAA